CCAAUGGCCUGGCCAAGAAUGUUGAUGUCACAAGGAAAGGGAACAGAGUUUGAUUGUGUGUCACAUAGAACUGGGAACAGACUGCUGUACUUAGAGGGACGUCCUUAUCAAUUAGGUAAUGUCUGCUAAUGAUUGAGGAGCUGUGUUAGGCAGUGCUCCAGCUGUUGAUAUGUUAGCAAACAUCUGCAAAGGGCACUCGUACCUUGUGGGAAAAACUUUUCUUAGUCUGGAUCCCACUGGUCCAAGCCCUGAAAGACUGGCAGACCCAACAGCAUCUCACAGGGCAUCUGAAACAGAGGAACAUGGCAGAAAUGUGGACUGGGCACAGGAGGCAGCUCUGCUUGGGAUGUUGGUUCCAUCUCCAGGAGAUCAACAGCGCUAUGGGAAGAGGAAGGUGUGGCCAAGGCUCUGACAUUGCUGUGGUCUUCCAGAGAAUGGGCCAUCAGCAACAUCAUCACCACUUGCCUCCGUCUGGAGGUACUAGCAGGUCCUUUGUAGUUUGAAAAUGUCCGACAGAGCAUUACAACUAAAUCUUAAGAGGACCAUCAUACAGCGAGAGACAUUUUCUUCCUGUGCAUCCAAGCAAGAAGGCCUGUUUCACAGUCUUUUAAGCUGAUUCCUGAGUCUCCUACACACGCCUGAAUCAGAUGUAUCUUGAUACAACCAACGAUCAAAAUAAUGGAAUUUCAGCCUGGAUGGGUUACACUAGCAACACCAGGGAGACAGAAGUGUCAGGAAAACAAAGACAGGAAAGUUUAUACGUGGGACGCCUACCACAGCAUGGCUGCCAAGCAGUGCCAUGUCCGCACCCGGGAUCCGAAGCAGCGAACCCCGGGCCGCCGAGAAGUGGAACGUGCGAACUUAACCGCUGCGCCACCGGGCCGGCCCCAUGGAUCACGCAAUUAUUAAGUGGAGGAUAUGGGAUUCGAACCCAGGCAUGUCUGGUUUACUCCAUCUGCAGGGAGCUUGCCAUCAUUUGACACUGUUUCGGCACAGCCUGAGCACCCUCCAAGUGGGCCGCUCUGGGAAAGCCACUUCCAGUUGGUGAAGUUGGCACGAGUGAUAAAACUUAUUUGACUUCUUGGCCUUCAUCAAAUUCCUUUCUUUGCAGAUGAAGAAACUGGGCCAAAGAGAGCUCUGUGAAAUGACUUGCCCAAGGUCACACAGGCAGUUUGUCCUGUGUGAGCCAAGACUGUUCAAAUUCUUGGUCCGUCUCACUGCAUGAAAACCCCUCAUCCUCCAAUCACUGGCCCCCACAACAACUUCGUUCCUCGGGCCUGAUCAGCUUGGGGUUUUUAGUAGCCUAAAGCCGUUAGGAUAAUUUCUUCUCUCUAAAUCACAGCCUGAUAGAAGUUGAAGGACGCACUUCCUGGGGCUGAAAGGUCUUGGGGAGGAAUGAGCGAGGCUAAUAUUACCCCCACUGCCUUUGGAUCUCUUCUAAAGACCCAGAUGCCACAUUACCUGUAACUCAAGUACUUAUAAAUUGGCUUCCCCCUAAUUUGACUUUUCUGAGGAAUCUCUGGAGACUUAACUCAUGUGGAAAAGUUCUUGAGAAUUUUCAGAGGGGGGCAGUCCAACUGCUUGUGCCCUAAACCAAUAUAAGCACAAACCCAGGGUGAGAUUAUUUUCCUUACGGUUGAGAAUUAGAAACUGCUCCAGUGAGAGGGGACUUUUAAGAGGCCCAAGGAGGGAAGUGAGUUACCCGAGGUCACAGAGUAGGUCUGUGGCAAUUAAGGGCUCAAGAGCCAGACUGCCUGGGUCCAACCUUAGGACACCUCCUUAUUGGCUGUGUGACAUUGGGCAGGGUAGCUACUGUCUCCCCAGGCCUUGGUUUCCCCAUCUGUAUUGGAAGUAAUGUAUGGUGGAUUAGAGAGGUCUACAAAUUCUUUGAUACUUUUCUACUCAAGAGAUGCCACCUAUUUCCCCUCUCUUUAAAUCUGAGUUGGCUUGUGAUUGUUUUUUGUUUUGAAGAAGAAGAUUAGCCCUGAGCUAACAUCCACCACCAAUCUUCCUCUUUUUGCUGAGGAAGAUUGGCCCUGAGCUAACACCCAAGCUCUAACAUCCAUGUUAGCUCAUCUAGAUAGAGCUAACAUCUUCCUCUAUUUUAUAUGUGGGACGCCUGCCAAAGCAUGGCUUGAUAAGCAGUGCAUAGGGCUGUGCCCAGGAUCCAAACCAGCAAACCCCUGCGCUGCUGAAAUGGAGUGUGCAAACUUAACCACUACGCCACUGGGCUGGCCCUGGCUUGUGAUUGUUUUGACCAAUAAAGUCUAGUGAAGUGUGAUAUGCCAGUUCUAGGUCUAGUCUUUAAAAGGAUUGUCAGGUUCUGCCUUGGGCUUAUGGAGCCCAAGACUGCCACAAAAGAGGCCACCAUGCUACGAGGAAGCCCAAGCCAGCCAUUUGAAGAGGCUGUGUGUUUGGGAAGAGGCCCAGGCAGCCUUUGGCUAUACCACCCCAAGCCUCUGGAGUCAUCUUAACUGAAGUCCAGACAUUAUUAAGCAGAGAUCAACACCACCUCUGUGCCUUGUCCAAAUUCCUGACUCACAGAAUCAGGAGAUAUAUUAACACUAAAUUGCCAUUUUCAACCACUAAGGGUAGUUUGUUAUACAGCAACAGAUAACCAGAACAGUGGUUCUCAGAGGGUUGUUGUGAGAAUUAUGAGUUGAUACACCCGUAAAAGUUUAGGGCAGUGCCUGGCACAGUUAGUGUUCAAUAAAAGUGAGUUACUACUCAUUCCACAAACAUUUAUUAUAUACCAAGUUGGUCUACACCCUGCACUAGCUGGGAGGGAUGCAGGGCUGAAUGGGAGCCAAACAAUUGGGCCUUUGUGGAAAUUAGGAUUAACUAGAACCUGGUCACAUACUUCAGUUAAGUAAGAAAUGUAUUUCCCCCACUCUGGGCCACCACAUUGUCUCUGUGUCUGGGGGAAGUAGAAGUCUCCAGCCUCGCACAGAAGGGAGCCGCCUGCCUGGACUCUGGGCAGGCCUGGAGGGGUUAAGUCCAUGGAUGUUGUCCCAUCGCUACGCUACUACAGCUGAAAAUUCAGCAGCUAUUGAUUCCCGGUAAGCACUGAUGCCCUUCCCAGGUCAGAAAAGAAACCCAAACCAUUGUUGAGUAAAUACAGUAUUCUGUUCACUACAUCAAUUAGGCUGACCCUAGGGGCUCUGGGAGCCCCUUCCUCCCCCAUUUGCAAUGACAGCUGCCAUGCUAAUGAAACCACAUUGACAUGAUAAUUAAACCAUUACACAAAGAGGGGGUUUCCUAGUGCUGCAGCUUUAGCAGAGGCACUGGGGUGGCCACGGGCUAGACUGGAUGAGGCCUGGGGGUUGGUUCAGGGCCAUGAGGUGACAUGCAGUGCCUGGGUCAUUCCCAGACUUGGCCCCAGGGGCAGCUGGGCUGGGGCACUGCAGCUGCUGCCUCUGGCGCUGGUGGCUGGGGUAGGGCAGGCCGGGCCAGGGUGAGAACACUGACUAAACGCUGCUCUCGAUCUCUCUUGAUCCCUGCGAAAUCUUUAAUUGGGUGAUACCUGAAAGAAAUCCCCUACCGCUUCCUGGAGGGGGUGGGGUACCCUGUCAACUCCUGACU
rnacentral:lncRNA from 1 species